AAGUCAUAACAAGGUUUCUGUAGGUGAACCUGCAGAAGGAUCAUUAGUGAACAACCGGGGUCCUGGCGGGGCAACUCGCCAGCUCCCCAACCCUCCACUUAUAUCCACACACCUGUGCACCGUCGAGUCUUCGGACCUCGACACAACUUAUUAUAACACCUGAGAAACUGUAUGUUAUUUAUAAAACCGGCUCGCCGGAAAUACAAAAUAACUUUCGACAACGGAUCUCUUGGUUCUCC
rnacentral:misc_RNA from 1 species